rnacentral:sRNA from 1 species
GGUUCACCCUGUAUCAGACCCUGGAGCCCAUGGUGUCCAGGUCUAUCUGCCUGGCCAAGGGGAGGUGAGUUAAGGAAGGGCAUGGUGGGGAAAGAUGGUGAAGCCAAAGGAGGCAAACAGGAUGGGACCCCUGUGCACUGAGUGAGCCGGUAUCUUACGUCUUUUGUCACUCACAGGUGUGGUAUGACAUUCAAAGCUACCAGAAGCAUCAUGGUCCCCAGACCCUAUACCUGCCUGUAACUCUAAGCAGUAUUCCUGUGUUCCAGCGUGGAGGGACAGUCGUGCCUCGAUGGAUGCGAGUGCGGCGGUCUUCAGAAUGUAUGAAGGAUGACCCCAUCACUCUCUUUGUUGCACUUAGCCCUCAGGGUACAGCUCAAGGAGAGCUCUUUCUGGAUGAUGGGCACACGUUCAAC